rnacentral:snRNA from 1 species
AUCUGUUCUUAUCAGUUUAAUAUCUGAUACGUCCCCUACCCGGGGACCAUAUAUUAAAUUGAUUUUGGAGCAGGGAGAUGGAAUAGGGGCUUGCUCCGUCCACUCCACGCAUCGACCUGGUAUUGCAGUAUUUCUAGGAACGGUGC